GUUAAUUUCAUAUUUUCAAAAAGUGCAUCAGCCCAGCUCAAACUCCCGUCAAAGGCCAAUUCCUUAUUUACAAACACAACUCUAUGUUCAUUGUUUAGGACGAAAACGUAACUAUGAAUCAUUUUAACAUCUGACAAAAACUAACGUUAGCUGCCAAGACGCAUAUGCUAGCGUAAAUUGCACUAACGGUCUCGAGCUAAGGACUACCAUAUCACACAAAAUACAACCGACAAUUGUUUGCAAAAACUCACCAUUUCAAUCAAUCAGAUGUAGCCACGUUGAGCAGUUUUUUUACUUGAACGCCCGCUGGAAGCCCAGACGGUUAACACACGUGUUUCUUGCGUCGAAUUCGCAACCGGAACUAAGAGCCGUGCAGCGUAUUUCUACUUCCGUUAUACCAACCUUUCUAAUAUCAGCGCGCCCCCUACAGUUGACAUUCACAUUCUUUUUUGUGUGUUUUGACAAACUAAUGAGGACGCUUGUGAUUGGAUAACGAGGCGCAUUGUGCCCUUUAAAAGCGGAAGGAAGUGGUAAUACUUUCCGUCCUGGUGAUGGUUGCGAAGUGGCGCUGCGUGAAAGCAAAGAGGGAAAAAAAAAGGUGUAGCAGCAGACCGGUGGACUCCACGACGCCAAGAAGUUCGAAGCAUCUGGUUUAUGUUACGUGAACGACGUCGCCCUGGCCAUUUCUGAGCUUUUCAACUAAAUACACAUUAAACUUUUGUACAACAUUUACAGAGUGUAAAAUGUUUACAGGACAUCGGGGCUGGAAAGAACAAAUACUACGCAGUGACUUACCCAUGAAGCCAUCUUUAAACCAUUUGAGCCCAAAGAACAGCACGUGAGAGGGAGGUCCAGGAAUGCUGCCAACCAAGGGGGGAGGAAAAAAAGGAAGCAGAAGAGAACCUGUGGAUGAUUGACUACAGCCAGAACAAGUAGUAGUUUUAUUGCAUUAACUUUAUUUCUCUUUGUGCUAGAUGGAGUUUUUAUUUAUUUAACCAAAUAAAGUAUUUGUUGAAUUGUUGUUACAUGUAGCUAUUGUUGAAUGUGGAAUUAUCUAGAGUACCAAGUAGUGGUUGAUUGAAGCAUUUUGUAACAUGCUAGCGCUAAACACUUUGAACAUGGUGUAGUUAUCUGAGAGCGUUUGUACGUAAUGUCUUUAUUUCAUCUUGUUUGAGUUCAAAAGAAGAGGUUUAAUGAAGUUGUUCCACUCCUGAUGAUGGGACCUUUGUUGAAUCCUGUGAGCACAUGGUUGACAGAAGCAGUGUUGAGUAUGUAAUCUGUCCAUCUUUACCUGAAGUGUUAAAGCUAAGAAUUGCUGCUGUAAUUUGACUUUUUUAAAGCUUAUCUAUGGACUUUGUGAUUGAAUGCCUGUUUUGUAAAGGCAACGUGUGUUGCUAUUGAGUAAAAAAAAAAAGUUCUAUUCUGUGCCUCCUCUGCGAUUGUCAUUAACAGAUGUGCAAUGGCGAAGACAGACACAGCAGCUUGGACUCUGCCAGGUAGAGUGAAGGAGCAACUUUAUUGGAAGCAGAUCACUUGUUUGCUGGACUUGUGAGUGUUUUACUGAAUUGUAAUGACUUUACUGUGUAACUUGAUUGCUAUGCUAUUGUUAACAGAUUUUUGACUUGGUGUUUUUGGCUCAUUUAUUUGUACUUAAUAUUUAGUUAAUUUAACUUAGUUAUGUAGUGCAAUCAUUGUGUAACUUGAUUGCUAUGCAGUUGUCUAACAGAUUUUUUGACUUGGUGUUAGUUCAU